AUGGCAAAGCAGCUCAGGGACCUGAAGGCUGACCCACGGCUGCAGGUAGCAGGGGUCCAGUGGGUGGCAGGAGGAGCCAUCUGUCCCCCAAAGCUGGAACACAGUCCCGGUGUUCCCUGCACUGGACCUCCCCACCUCCACCCCACAGCCCACCCUCCAAAGCCAGCAGUUAGCCUGGCACAUACAGGUGACAGUCCUGAGGCCAGCAUUGACCGCUGUCCUGUCCCCACAGCCUCCAUCCACGGCCCAUCCGUCUACCCCUUGCGUUCCUGUUGCAAAAGUGCUACCAAUGCCACCUCUGUGACGCUGGGCUGCCUGGUCACGGGCUACUUCCCGGGCCCAGUGACCAUGACCUGGGACACAGCAUCCCUGAACAAGAGCACGUUGACCUUCCCUGCCAUCCAAAACUUGAACUCCAGCCUCUACACCACCAGCAGCCAGGUGACAGUCUCGGGCGAGUGGUCCAAGCAGAAGUUCGCCUGCAGCGUGGCCCACGCUGCGUCCAGCACCACCACCACCAAGGCCGUCGCUGGGUGCACCAAGAGCUUCACCGACCCCACCGUGAAGCUCUUUUACUCCUCCUGCGACCCCCGUGGCGACACCCAUACCACCAUCCAGCUCCUGUGCUUCAUCUCCGGCUACACCCCAGGCAAAAUCAAGGUCACCUGGUUGGUGGAUGGGCGUGAGGCCACAGACGUGUUCCCACACACCGGCCCCGAAAGGGUGGAGGGCAAACUGGCCUCCACCUACAGCGAGCUCAACAUCACGCAGGGCCAGUGGGUGUCCCAACUCACCUACACCUGCCGGGUCACCUAUUAUGGCUCCACCUACGACAACCACGCCCGCAGGUGCACAGCCGAGUCCGAGCCCCGUGGCGUGAGCGCCUACCUGAGCCCACCCACGCCCCUCGACCUGUACAUCAACAAGUCACCCAAGAUCACCUGCCUGGUGGUGGACCUGGCCAGCAAAAAGGACAUUACACUGACCUGGUCCAGGGAGAACAAGGAUAUAGUGUAUCCAGACCCGCUCGUCUUCAAGGAUGAGUUCAACGGGACGGUCACUGUCACGUCCACCCUGCCGGUGAACGUCAGUGACUGGCUCAAGGGCGAGACCUACUACUGCAAAGUGACCCACCCACACCUACCCAAGGAGAUCCUGCGCUCCAUCUCCAAGGGCUCUGGCAGGCGCAUGGUUCCCGAGGUCUACGUGUUCCCGCCACCCAAGGAGGAGCUCAAGACCAAGGGCGAGGUCACCCUCACCUGCCUGAUCCAGAACUUCUUCCCCGCGGACAUCUCCGUGCAGUGGCUGCAGAACGGCGCCCUGAUGCAGGCGGACCAGCACACCGUCACGAGGCCCCACAAGGUCCGCAGCCCCAUCCCCGACUUCUCCGCCUACUUCAUCUACAGCCACCUGGUGGUCAGGCGGGCCGACUGGGAGCAGAAGAGCGAAUUCACCUGCCAAGUGGCGCACGAGGCGCUGCCCGGCUCAAGGACGCUCAAGAGAUCGAUGUCCAUCAACCUUGGUAAAUGAUGCCUGGCCUCCCCCCUCUCCUCAUCCCAGGGCUCCAUCCUGCUGGGGUGGGGGAGGGGGCCAGCCAGACCUUCCGUCCAUUGUCAAUAAACACUCCAGUGCCUGCUCAGAG